GGCAACUUGGCCGAGCGGUCUAAGGCGCCACGUUAAGGUAUUACCUUGAUCCCAACUUGAAAAGUUCCGUGGUCCGAAAGGGCGUGAGUUCGAAUCUCACAGUUGUCA